AAAUGGUCAUAGGACGCUGCGCGGUCGGCUGCACGAACAGAGAAGGAUAGAAACCAAACAUGUCAUUUUAUUGUACAAUUUUUAAUGAGGAAAGAUGGCGGCGGCGAUGGAUUGCAGCUGUCAGUCUUAAUGACUGUCAGGCUCAGCCCUCGGUGCAACCGCGGAUUUGCAGCUUUUUAGAAGUGUGACCAGCGUGGGACCUUUGCAGCUCUUCUUCGGUUUAAUUUCUUCUUGAACACGAGGCAAGCGAAUUUUCUCAGUCUUGGACUCGACCUCGUUGUAGGGACAAACUUUAAGAUGCUCAGCGAUGGACGGGACGUCUCUGAAGCUCCAGGCGUCCACAGGAGAGAACAGGGAGCUAAACUGCCACACCUGAAGGACAGCUCACCCUGUGUGAAACCCUCCACUUGGCUCUCCCACGUGAGGAGCUCGUCCUCUCCCAGCAGAGUGUCACCAUCCCUCUCUCCUGCAGCAGGGAGGAGCAGACCUGCCUCAUGAGGCGGGACACCAGGGCCAGCUGGGACAGGGACUGGCUGUCCAGGAAGCUGGCCAUGUGGCACAGCACCUCGUAGGGCAGCGAGCUCAGCCGGUCCUCCCCUCCUUCGGUGUGACCUCCACCCGUAGGCUGAGAAAACGGGAUGAACGGGUGCAGGCCAAAGCAGCCCAGCUCCUCACUGAAAACAGUUUGGUUUAUAUUUAUCUGCAUGUUGAAGUCUGGAUGAAGAAAUGAUAGGUACAUGAUUAUCCUGCAUGUUUUAGAAACAAGCAUUUAACCUGAAAUUAUUGAUUUGGGGAAUUUGACUGAGGUGAGAUUUAAAAAAAAAAAAUCUGUGGUGGAGUCACUUUGUUCACUAAAAAUGUUUCUAUCAAAUGGUAUUGUAAUCCUAAAAAAUAAUAAUGCCCAAAACAAAGAAAAACUAAUUAUCUCAACAGUACCAGAGCUAAAAUAAUGAGAUGUUUAAUGGGGCAGUAUUAUUUAAGGGUGACUUUUUUAGCUUUACAAACUCGGAGUGUUGCUUUGUUUUACAGUGUUUUAGUAUCUUUACUUCUACAAUUAUGUUCACUGUCAUGUUCAUUUUCCUCACCUGAGGAACUGAUUUCUACCACAAAUGACACGAGUGAUCAAGUGAUGCAGUUUGAGUUUAAUUUCCAUUUUUAUUUCUCUGUUCACAUUACUAUAAUUAUAAUGCAACAUAAACUUAUCUGUUAAAAAAAAAAAAUAAUUCUCACUUGAAGUUGACGGUGGCUUCAAAUGUGGAAGGCCGAAACCUCCUCUGGCUGUAGGUACAUCCCAUGUACGCUAGGGGGCACCGCUGUUCAAACCAGCCGUUCACACACAUCUGAAUGUCGCUGUGGAUGUUCCUGCUCCGGCCAUUUCCAUUAUCAAAGGCAAAUAGACAGAAUGCAUCAGAGUUGGGUAGUAGCUAGUUACAUAAUUACAUUUACUUGAGUAACAUUUUUGGGAAAAUGUACUUUUACUACUUUACUUUAUAUUUUUACCUUUGUAAUUUUAUUUUGAAGUACUACUCUUAUUUGAGUAAAAUUUCUGGAUUCUCUACCCACUAAAUAAACAAAUAAGAUAUUUUAAC